CACAGUACGUGAAACCGUUUAGAGGCAAACGGAGAGGACCGCAAAGUCCGCGCGUCGGAUUCAAUUCGCCGGCCGUACGGCGUCCGCAUCGUGGCAUCCGUGAAGGAGUUCGGUGUGGGCGUUAAGCGUGCGGCGGCGGGUGCACUUUCGGCGCGCGGAGCGCCACGACCGGUUCGGUGGCGGUCAGAAGCCCCCGCGGAAGGUGCCCGAUGCCGCAAGGUGUCGGAGUUACAGCCGCGGACGGCGUCGACCCGUCGUCGGACCGAGGAAGACACUUACGCGGCCGGUGGCGGUCGCCGUUGGCUCGUUCGUCCGUUCGACCUGUGGGGACUGGUUUCAGUGCCCGCUAACCGCGGGCGUUCGGUGCUGGCGGUCGGUCGUCGUCGGCCUGGGGUCGGUGGCGAAUCGGUCGGUCACCUGUCCGACCCGUCUUGAAACACGGACCAAGGAGUCUAACAUGUGCGCGAGUCAGUGGGUGAUACGAAACCUAGAGGCAGAGUGAAAGCAAAGGCCGUUCCUUGCGUUCGGCCCGGGUAGGAUCCCUCGUCGCACGCGGCGGGGGCGCACUACCGGCCCGUCUCGGCCGCAACGUCGGCGAGGCGGAGCGAGAGCGUACACGUUGGGACCCGAAAGAUGGUGAACUAUGCCCGAGUAGGACGAAGCCAGAGGAAACUCUGGUGGAGGUCCGCAGCGAUUCUGACGUGCAAAUCGAUCGUCAAACUUGGGUAUAGGGGCGAAAGACUAAUCGAACCAUCUAGUAGCUGGUCUGCGAAGUC
rnacentral:rRNA from 1 species